rnacentral:rRNA from 1 species
AUACGGAGGAUCCGAGCGUUAUCCGGAUUUAUUGGGUUUAAAGGGAGCGUAGGCGGACGCUUAAGUCAGUUGUGAAAGUUUGCGGCUCAACCGUAAAAUUGCAGUUGAUACUGGGUGUCUUGAGUACAGUAGAGGCAGGCGGAAUUAGUGGUGUUGCGGGGAAAUGCUUAGAUAUCACGAAGAACUUCGAUCGCGGAUGCAGCUGACCGGGCCGGAACAGACACUGAUGCUCGAAAGUGCGGGUAUCAAACAGGUUUAGAUACCCUGGUAGUACGCACAGUAAACGAUGAAUACUCGCUGUUUGCGAUACACUGUAAGCGGCCAAGCGAAAGCGUUAAGUAUUCCACCUGGGGAGUACGCCGGCAACGGUGAACCUCAAAGGAAUUGACGGGG